CAUCCUCAGGCCGCCGGAAGGGAGCAGGGGGCCGGCCUCGGAAGGGUCGGCUGCUGGGGGUCUGCGCAGGCGCGGAGGGCGCUGGGAGUGGAGGGCAUGAGGGAUCGAUCCUCUUUCUUUGUUUAGGUUUUCAUCCACUAGAACAACGGGAGACACAGUGAAGGGAUCUAGUACGUUGAUACGGCCCACCUAGACUGUAAAUACCCCUCGGCGGCUUCAAACUUCGGGCGGGAAAAUCGCUGACCUGCUUUCCGCCCUUUCUCACGGGUAGUGUUUGCUGUAUUUAUUGCUGUGAUGUCUCUUUGGGGAGAGGAAGAGGUAUAGAACACCUGCUAAAGGUUUCUUUAGCUGCUACAGUUCUUCUAAGAACUGUAAAUAUAAGCACAAAAACAGAACAAUUUAAAUGUAAAGGAUGAAAUAAUUGAAGAAUGAGCAAGGGAGAAUUCUUUUAGAAAGCAAAGCCUUUCUAACCACGACUUGAAAAUCAGAAGACAAAAAAGAUGGAUAAAUUAGAUCACGACAGAAUAAAAAUCUUCUGCAGGCAAAAAUUACGGUAAGCAAAUUCAAAAAACAAACUGGGGUAAAUACUUGCAAUUCAUAUCAUAGGUGAAGGACUAAUCUCCCUAAUAUAUAGGAAACUUCUAGAAGAUAAUAAGAAAACAACAUCCAUUAGAAAAAUAGAGGUUAUGAGCAGUUCACAGAAAAGGAAGUAUAAUUUGCUCUUAAACAUAUAAAAAGAUGCUCAACUUCAUUCAUAAUGAGGAGAGUGUAAGUACCAUUUUUCAUUCUUCAGGUUGGCAAAAAUCCAGAACUGAUGAUACAGUUUGUUGGUAAUCCUUAAGGAAAAAGACACCCUCCUCCUUCGCCUGCAAGAAUGUAAAUUGGCCCAACUCUUACGGAAGGCAAUUUGACAAUAUCUACCCAGAAUUUAAAUGCAUAUACCUUUUGACCCAGGAAUGCAGUUUCUGAGAAUUUAUCCUACAGAUAUACUCACAUUCGUGCCAAACGAUGACUGUACCAGGUUAUUCACUGCAGCUUUGUUUGCAGUCAUCAACGAUUGGACGUAACCCAAACGCCCAUCAAUAGGGGCUAGUUAAAUAAAUUAUGGUUCCUCCUCACAAUGGAAAAUGCAGCUGUAAAAAAGAACAUGGAAUAUCUAUGUAGAUAGAUACAGAGAGAUUGCCAAGGUACAGUGUUAGAUGGGAAGUACAAGGUCAGAACAGUGUUAUAUAUUAACUUUUUGUGUGAACAGGGAGGAAAAUAAUAAUAGAAACUUUGAAACUUUGGAAGGAUAGCUCAGAAAGUAAUGGCCACGGAGAGGGCUAUGCUGGGAGCUGGUGGUGGAGGGGGGACCCAGCCAGGAGACCUGACUCCGUGCUUUUUAAAAAAAACUUUUGAUUCUUAUAAAUCUGACUGCAUUACUGAAUUAAAUAACUCCGCUUUGCAGAUGAUCUCCUUCUGAUAUUUUUAGUCUAAUUGACCACCUUUCUAUCAUCUUUUGUCAUCCCUAUUUCAAGUUCUGUUUUUUUUUUCCUUCUUUUUAAAUUUUGCUCUCUUUUUCAUGUCAAGUUCUUUUUUUCUGCCCCAACUUGCUUUUGUAAUCAAAAUCCACAUUUUGGCGUGAUUUAAAAAUCUAAAUUUAGAGGGUGAAAUUGGAAUAAGUUAAUCCAAGUCAUUUUACAUUUCAUAAAUAUUCAUUUUUAUUGAAGUGUCAAUUGUGGUGGCAUCAUUUAUACAAAGAAAAGAUCUUUGGGGACAGAUUUCUUCCACUAUUAUGUAGAAGGCAUUAUGUGUAUUGCUUUUAUUUUGAGUGAUGUACAUAGACUUUUUAGAAGAAAAUGAUAGAAAACAAUUUUCCUUUUAGAAAAAAUUUUCCCCAGUGUGUGAUUAAUUUCUAAAUUGUAGGACACAGAACUAUUAUCUAUCCUCUCUGCAUCCUGUCUAAAGCUCUUUAUUUUCCCCUCUAUUUCAGAAUCCACAGUACUUCUCUGAAGUCCCUGGGAUAGGGGGAUUCCAGAGCUCCCACGAUCCGACCCUCACCUUCCCAGCUUUUCUUCCCACUGUGCCCCCUCUAGAACAGGCGUCCCCAACCUUUGGGACCUAAUGUCUGAUGAUCUGAGGUGGAGCUGAUGUAAUAAUAGUAGAAAUUAAAUGCACAAUCAAUGUACUGUUCUUGACUCACCGUGGAACCAUCCCCCCUGCCCCCCUCUGUGGAAAAAUUGUCUUCCAUGAAACUGGACCCUGGUGCCAGAAAGGUUGGGGACCACUGCUCUAGAACCCCAUCUUCUGGUUAGCAUGUGGUUCAGUGUUUUGCCUCUGGAAAUGUCCAAGUGGGAUCCACACUCUAAUCUUUUCAUUCUGUCGUCUUUGUUAAAUGUUUACUAAAUGCUUGCUUGGGUGAAAUAUUGUGUUUUCCACAUAGCCUUAUCCUGUUUUUCCUCAAAACUUGCCCUGCUUGAAUUUGAUUUCUCCCAUAAACCCAUCUGCUUCCCAUUUCCAAAUUCUUGUACUCAGUUGUGUCCGACUCUUUGUGACCUGUGCUCUGUAGCCCGCCAGGCUCCUCUGUCCAUGGGGAUUCUCCAGUCAGGAAUACUGGUGUGGGUUACCAUGCCCUCCUCCAGGGGAUCUUCCCAGCCCAGGGACUGAAACCAGGUCUCCCGCAUUGUAGGCAGAUUCUUUACUGACUGAGCCACUAGGGAAGCCCUAGAGGAUUGUAUAUCCUGCCAUAACCCCAACUUACUUCUAAAACCAAACCAUUUUCCCUUCAAAACAUUGGAUGCAUAUUUUAAUUUCCCCAUUUCUGUCAGUGGCAUUACUCCUAUGCUCUUAAGUCUCCCAAACCUUAGCCACAUGCAUCUUCAAUCCUUGCCUCUGUAUUUAAACUGGCCCUCCUCCAACAAAUCUUGAUUGUUCCUUGCCUUCUGUAUUAGUCAGGGUUUUCCAGAGAAACAGAACCAAUCGUGUGUGUGUGUGUGUGUGUGUGUUUGUGUGUGUGUAUGUGUAAAGAGAUUUAGUAGGAGGGAUUGGCUCACGUGAUAAUGGAGGCUGAGGAGUUCAAGAUCUGUUGUCUGUAAGCUGGAGGCCUAGGAUAGCUGGUGAUGUAAUUCAGUCCAACCCUGAAAGCUGAGAACCAGGGGAGCCCAUGGUUCCAGCCUGAGUCCUAAAGCCUGAGAACCAGGAGCACCUGAGGGCCGAAGGAGAUGGAUGUUCCAGAUCAGACAAGGAGAGUGAAUUCACCCUUCUUCCACCUUUUUGUUCCAAUCUGAUGGGACUGGAUGAGACACACACCCGACCCCCUUCACCUCCACGCACCAUGUUGGUGGGAUCACCUUCUUACUCAGUGUAUAAUUCAAAUGUUAGUCUCUUCUGGAAGUACCUUCACAACGUGUUUAACCAGCUACCUGGGCAUCCUUUAACCCAGUCAGCUUGGCAGAGGAAACUAACCAUCAUACUUUCCUGGGUUACUGCUUUAAGUCUUCUCUGUCAUGAGCACCACUAUCAGGCAUCUGUUUAAACCUCAGAUUUCUUUCUGUCACUUCUAAGAAAAUAAAGAUAACUCUGUGUGAUCCGGCAAUGAUUCUGUUCGUCCUGGGGUUAGAAGCCUUCUUUAACUUGCUGCUAAUCUCAGUGUUCUUCAUCUCUGCUUCCGCCCCUGAGCCUGACUCCUGCUCUUAGUAACUUCCUCCGGGAAGCUGACUUUCUCUGUCACAGCUCAUUUCAACCUUCCCAGGCCUUUCAAGGCUACUCUCAGUUCUGCCCCUUCCAUGCGGCCUUUGGGGGACUGCUUCAGCAUUUAUUGCUCUUAGAGUUGGACGUGGAGCUAGGGCCUUGAGGCCCUGUUUUACACUUUUAUUCCAGAGUGUCUCUUUAAGGGUGGUGGAGUUGAGUUCCUUCAAUGUCUUUGGAGCACAGAGAUUGCCACUUUUCUCCCUUGUGUUUCCUUAACUUCUCGCCUGGUUACAUGACCAGAACUUGGGGAUUACAAGGACCAGGCCACUUGGUCUCUCUGUAACUUCCUCUCUGGAUGUCCUGUCGGAAUGUUCUUCCCAUUUGGCAAGACAUUGGACUACUUUGAGCAUGAUGCUGUUAACAUAAACUUAUCUUAAAACUUAUAAACUUUUUAAGAGUUUAUUUGAGCAAAAAUUCAUUCAAAUUGGGCUGCAUCCAAUCUUGCUGAUAGAAAGGAGCUCUGAGGAGCUGUACAAAAUGGAAGAUUCUUCGAGCCAGAAGGGAGCGGAAACAAAGAAGGUGUGCUAGGCAGGGUGGGUAUAGUAAGGUUACUUUCCUCCCGGCAUGGCCGGAUGUCUGCCAUAUAGAUUACCCAGCUAGUGCCCAUCAGGAGAUUGCUGAUUGACUGGUUCUUAAACCAUUUCUCUCCCAUCUUUGGGAGAGCCAAAACCAUAGAUAGCCAGGGUAAGUCUCGAUUUGGUGUUACGGGGCUUAGCAUGUGCUCAGCUGCUAAGUCGUGUUCAGCUGUCUGGGGCCCCAUGGACUGUAGUCUGCCAGGCUUCUCUGUCCAUGGGGUUUCCUAGGCAGAAAGACUGGAGUGAAUUGCCAUUCCCGACCCAGGAAUCAAAUCCACAUCCCCUGCAUUUCCUGCAUUGGCAUGUGGAUUCUUUACCACUGAGACACCUGGAAAGCCAUGAGGCUUAGCAUAAGUGACUCUAUUUAGGGCCUAUUUUUCGUUUGUUUGUUUUUAAAAACCACCAAAUGCUUGGUUUUGCUGUGACCAGAGACUGCCAUACCCUUUGAACCAGCUGGGACCUCUUCUGUAAGCUAGGUCUCUUAUAAAAGGUUGAAUAAGGCUAUUGCUCUUGACAGAAAAAAAGAUGGUCCCUUACAUUUCUGUAGGACUUUUGUAACAUUUCAUGUGAGCAUAUCUACAAAGUUUCUCAGCAGGGUGUAUUUCUGAUCCACUAGCUUGCUGAAUAAGUGUGUUAAAUUUGCAUUAUAAUACAGCAAAGACUGGUAGUAGUGAAACUGGAAGAAAUGCAGGAUUACAAUAUGUUUUGAUGAAUAUAUUAGCAUUACAUUUUUUUAAAAAUGAAAAAUAAAAUUCAGAAACACUGACUGUCUUCCCAGAGCGUGUAUAUAAAAUGAAUUCUUUUGAAAAUGUUACCAUGGUAAGGUAAUAACAUUAGUGUUGAGUUUUCCUCUGGAAUUUUUUUCAUAUUUUACCUUUAAUUUUUUUUAAACUUGUAGUUUACUCUUAGGCAAUUUAUAGUUUGCUUAGGUCAAACACAAUGUGAAAAAUUAAAAAGCAUUGUUCCCAGGAGGCCCAAAAUUAUUCUUUGGCCAGCUGAAGAAAAUUUGAUAUUUUAACAGAUUUUACCCAGAAGGCGAGAGCCAUGAAAAUGAAAUACUGCAACGGAAUUCAGAGCUUUCCAGCUGGAGCAAAUGAAACCUCAAGGAAAAAAAAUAAUCCCAAAUGUACUGUAGUUAGCAGAUGCAAAGGAAACCACGUUAGGGUUGGCCGAAUGGAGCAGCCAGCUUUCAAAUAGAGCCCCGGAGAACACGCUGCAUGGCUGCAGAUCUCCAUUUCCUUAUCUCUUCCUAAGAACCGAUUCAUGAAGAGCGACGUCAUCUUGCAGGAAGCCCAAUGUAGCAAGUCCUGCUGGUCCCUGGGGUUCCUGGCCCACCACUUAGCAUUCCUCGCACACCAAACUGUGUGCACUGGCAUGAAGCAGCUGCAUGGAGCUGUCUGCUCCCCCCGCCACCCCCCCCAACCUAGGCUGCACCUCGCCAGAUAACAGCCCUGCUCACCAUCUCCUCUCCCUGACAACUGGAGGCAGGUUGCCAGGAAACCGUACCCCCCCUCCGCCCCCCCAGAGGAGACUCUGCACCCAACUGCAUCUGCAAGUAAAAGAGGCUGGAGGAGGCCCUUUGCAGAUAACUUUAUUUUCAGAAAUUAAAAAAAAUUUUUUUUUCUCUUCUUCAGGAUUAUGCUCAUCCUAAGAAGCUCUGUGGAUUUAUUUUGAUAGGUGGAGUAAAAGAGAAUAAUUAUUUUCUGGUGAAAAUUAGAGGUCGGAUGAGUGAGAUAAAAUAGCCGUUUGCUGCAGUAUUUUGGGGGGGAAACAUACAGGAAGAAGCUAUAUAAAUUUACAUAGGAAUUUCCAGGGGCAAAAUAUGAACCAAGGGGUUUCUGUGAAUAUGAUGGAGUUUAAGCUUUAGCUAUUUCAGUUCAAUAGAAACCAAACCAUUAUUUUUCUCAAAAAAACGAGACUGGUUAAAGACCUAAAGCCUAGGCUUCUUUUUCUGUAUAUGUUUGCUUUGCAACCUAUAGGGUGGUUGACAAACAAAAUUGAUAUAAUUUUAAAAAUGAGGAUUCUCUAUUGUUUGCUGUCUUAGAACGGAACCAAGUGUCUUUGCUCUCAGUCUCUGAGUUUUCUUCCCAGGGAGUCUGAACACAGGCUCUUCUCACUGUUCUGCCGAGUCUGUGCUGAGAUGGCUUCUCUUUGCUUCAGGGCCUUUAUUAAACCUUAAAUUUUUAUCCAUAUUUUUGCUCAAAGUUUGGAAGUUUUUAAUCAUUUUUAUUUUCUUGGGCUCCAAAAUCGCUGCAGAUGGUGACUGCAGCCAUGAAAUUAA